AGGGAUAUAAGGAGCAGACUGGGCAGUAGAAGGAUAGUUGAAGUGGGAAGAAGCAGUGGUGUGAGCUCCUAGUGUCUGCAUCAAGCUGGCUGUGGAUCCCUGAACAAAGGCUCCCCAUGUAAAGCAUCAAAUCUGGAUUUGAAGGAUUGAUUCUAAAUCCCCUUCCCACUACACAUAGCAGUAGUAAGUCUCAAGCCUGAGCCACCUGCUUCCGUACUCUCCAGGAUGUGAGAUGUUAAAGGGUGGGGAAUGGGCUUUUAUGGGGGACACCUGAGGUGAAGAUCCCAAUCUGCUACAAAAGUUCCUGCUGGUGCUGACCAUGCCCUGGAGCUGUCAGGCGCUGCUUUCACUGUCUAGUGCUGUACAUCCUGAGUGGUGCAACAGACAUGUCAUUCAUUAAGCUCCUCUGGCUUCUGUAGAAGGCUCCCAAGAACACCAAUAUCCCAUGCUAAUGCUCAUCGCUGCAAUAUGUCAAUUCUGGCCCUGAACAGAUAGCUGGUUGGCAAGCAGAGCUUUCCAUUGGCUGGAUGACUCGGAGCUGUAGUCCAUCAAACUGAGCAAUUUCCAAUCUACUUCAGAGCAAUAGAGGAAACAGGAUUCCUAAUCUGCAAACAGUUGGUCUUAAGUGUCCAGUGAUUAUGGCUUUGGCAUGGGGAUGAGCAUAACUAAUUGGCUGGGUAUUUACAGGAAGGCUGCUUUUCAGUAGUAGCUGAAUAUAAUGAAGGCUUUCAAACCCAGAUGACUGCAUGUCUCCAAAGUUUGAUACUGGGUUAUGGAGCCUUUCCAGUGCUUGUCCUGCCUCUGACCUCCUAUGUCAACACAGGCAGGUCUGUGUCCCUUCAUGCAACCCAGCCCACUUUCAGCCUUGUAACACAGGCUAAGGUAAUGCACUGAAGUAUCAUGUCUUGCAUCUAAAUGUUCCUCACUUGUAUUCCUAUCUCAAGCUUUUGCAUAGCAGAAGCUUAAUUUCAGUUGUCUUAAGCCUUCUGUACAUUAGGCCUGUCAUUAAAAUACCUUCUGUUUGCAGAUUAGUGGGAGUUGUGUGCAUAAGGACCUCAUUCUUGGUUAUGCAGCACGCAUGUUUCAGCAACAUGCAGUGAGCAGAUGUUUCAGGCUAAGGAAAUUCCAUAUGGCCCAUAGCAGUGUGUUCAGCCAUGCAUCAUGGCUCUUUGAGGCAAGGGCUUUCCUGGUAUCAUGCCCAACACAAUGGGGCCCUGAACCAUGACUGGGGUUCACAGGUGCUAAUGCAACAGAAAUUGGCUUCUAUUUUGUUCUUGAGCAGAAAACCAGGCUUGAAAUGAAAACGCCUCUUUGAGGAGCUAGAUCAGCCUCUUUCUAGACACUUGGUCAGUUGGGAUGUGUAAAUCGACCUGGCCAUUUCCUGAUUUGUGAGGGGCAUUUCAGAUGCUUGUCCAUGUGCCAGGGUGGUAAAAGGGCUAAAACACAGACCUGCAACUGUCACAUGCAGACAUCACUGCUAAGGGAGCAGCUAGAAAAAUGGAUUCCAGUCCAACCUCAAAAGAGCACCUUUUUGGAGCAGUGACUUUUUUCUACCAUUCCAGAACCUGCUGAGAGCCAGAAACAAGGGCUAAGCGCAUCCUGUAUUGGAAAGACUCCAGACUCAAAACCAUUCUCUAGUGGCAGUUAGGAGACAGAUUGCUGGAGGCUUCAGAGUAGCAGCC